rnacentral:rRNA from 1 species
GACAUCAGGAGGUUAGUGCAAUGGCAUAAGCCAGCUUGACUGCGAGCGUGACGGCGCGAGCAGGUGCGAAAGCAGGUCAUAGUGAUCCGGUGGUUCUGAAUGGAAGGGCCAUCGCUCAACGGAUAAAAGGUACUCCGGGGAUAACAGGCUGAUACCGCCCAAGAGUUCAUAUCGACGGCGGUGUUUGGCACCUCGAUGUCGGCUCAUCACAUCCUGGGGCUGAAGUAGGUCCCAAGGGUAUGGCUGUUCGCCAUUUAAAGUGGUACGCGAGCUGGGUUUAGAACGUCGUGAGACAGUUCGGUCCCUAUCUGCCGUGGGCGCUGGAGAACUGAGGGGGGCUGCUCCUAGUACGAGAGGACCGGAGUGGACGCAUCACUGGUGUUCGGGUUGUCAUGCCAAUGGCACUGCCCGGUAGCUAAAUGCGGAAGAGAUAAGUGCUGAAAGCAUCUAAGCACGAAACUUGCCCCGAGAUGAGUUCUCCCUGAGACUUAAAGUCUCCUGAAGGAACGUUGAAGACGACGACGUUGAUAGGCCGGGUGUGUAAGCGCAGCGAUGCGUUGAGCUAACCGGUACUAAUGAACCGUGA